AUUUAAUUGCACAAGUGCUCCGGACAACUAACUUGGCUUCCGAGAGUCUCCGUAAUAUACAGUCCCGCUCCAGGGCGGAAAAGCGUUCACAUUAGAGGCAUUUAAAGAGUUUACAAUUCGACUAAACCACACAGCCACACCGCCAAAAUAGGAGAAGCUGCGUUGCUGGGGAGGAUCCUUCCGCAUGGCGGACUGGAGCGGCUGCUGAUUGGCUGAGCGUCGUCGCUCAGCCCUCUCAUUGGCUCAGACGUCGUGCGGAGGCUCGGCCUAGAGGCAACAGAUGUACGAAGAUAGUUGAAUUCACCAAGAAGUUGCGCCGGUCUGCCCGCAGCUCGUCACAGCUGAACUGUUACAGCUGAACUGUUACAGCUGCCUCGGUUCCCUCCUCGUUACCGCAGAGAAAGUGUUACAACUGUGUCCUGCUUCCUGUUGAACACUAACCACGGCUUCCGCCGAGGUGUCCGAGCUGUGCACGUGGCGUGGACUAACUGCUGAGUGUAACUUAGACCUGGUCCAUGCGGUCUGACUGGACACUAAAACAUGGAGGCGAGCUGCAGAAACGAUUGCUCUAACAGAGAGAGGUGGACAGCGGAAACAGCUUUUAAUGCAGAAUGGACUCUGACAUGUUCAGUCUCCCCACAGGCCGCUCAAAGCCAGUACACAUGUUCAGAGACAGAGCAGCCUCGGAGCAGGUUUACAAGGGGGACGGGGCUCAGGGUGCCACUCAGUCACCCCACAAUAGUUUCCCAUAGCAGCAUCUUAUUUUCUUAGAGAUGUUCUGUGUAGUUCUACACAGCCAGUAGGGUAAAGAACCUGUCACUUUAAUUUUCCUUUCCCUAUUAAUAUGAUGCAUAUGAAUUACUUAUCGUUAGUGCUGAUGAUAAAAUAAAACUCUCACAAAUGAA